UCGGCGGGCCCGCCGCUUGUCGGCCGCCGGGGGGGCGCCUCUGCCCCCCGGGCCCGUGCCCGCCGGAGACCCCAACACGAACACUGUCUGAAAGCGUGCAGUCUGAGUUGAUUGAAUGCAAUCAGUUAAAACUUUCAACAAUGGAUCUCUUGGUUCCGGCAUCGAUGAAGAACGCAGCGAAAUGCGAUAACUAAUGUGAAUUGCAGAAUUCAGUGAAUCAUCGAGUCUUUGAACGCACAUUGCGCCCCCUGGUAUUCCGGGGGGCAUGCCUGUCCGAGCGUCAUUGCUGCCCUCAAGCCCGGCUUGUGUGUUGGGUCGCCGUCCCCCUCUCCGGGGGGACGGGCCCGAAAGGCAGCGGCGGCACCGCGUCCGAUCCUCGAGCGUAUGGGGCUUUGUCACAUGCUCUGUAGGAUUGGCCGGCGCCUGCCGACGUUUUCCAACCAUUCUUUCCAGGUUGACCUCGGAUCAGGUAGGGAUACCCGCUGAACUUAAGCAUAUCAAUAAAGCGGAGGAA
rnacentral:rRNA from 1 species